AUGUGUCUGGACGCUUGUCUAGGCAUGUGUAAACCUACGUCCAGUACGUGUUUCUGGGGGAAGGUUAGGCAGAUUACCGUUUGAAAUGAAGAGAUUCUGACUGUGCACUGUACUACGGUUGAAGGAGUUAAAAGAGAACUGGACCCAAAAUCGAUGGAAGAAUAAAUACUGAAGCAGUCAGUUACACAAUAACGAUAGGGGAGGGCGAUGCCAACCGGCUUUGUCACCUUUAAUAACCUUCAGGAGCUGGACUACUCUGGCGUCAUCUGUUAGGAGGAAACAAUUCGGCCACGAUGCUAGCUACACCCUCACGUGGCGCACUGAGAGAGGAAAAACUGCGCUCAGAGUCAGGGGACUGCUGGAGCUGGACCGGACCCCUCGGUCAGCCAACGCGGCUCCACUUUCCCAUGAAGUUAAAGCUCUGCUUGAGUUCCCUGUGGCCCAUCGUACGGCUCCUCUCCCAGGGGGACAUCUGUUCUGUUAGCCCUUCAAAUAAACUGCUCUGUUCCUCUGUAUGUACUUUCACAACAUGGG